CUCAGUAACGGCGAGUGAAGCGGUAACAGCUCAAAUUUGAAAUCUGGCCUCUCGGGGUCCGAGUUGUAAUUUGUAGAGGAUGUUUUGGGUACCGCCCCGGUCUAAAUUUCUUGGAACAGAAUGUCAAAGAGGGUGAGAGUCCCGUCUUGGACCGGCGGUAGGGCCUGUGUAAAACUCCUUCGACGAGUCGAGUUGUUUGGGAAUGCAGCUCAAAAUGGGUGGUAAAUUUCAUCUAAAGCUAAAUAUUGGCCAGAGACCGAUAGCGCACAAGUAGAGUGAUCGAAAGAUGAAAAGCACUUUGAAAAGAGAGUUAAACAGUAUGUGAAAUUGUUGAAAGGGAAGCGCUUGCAACCAGACUUGAGCGCGGCGGUUCCCCCGGUCUUUUGGCCGGGCUACUCCGUCGUGUCCAGGCCAACAUCGGUUCUGAGGGUCGGUCAAAGGCCUUGGGAAUGUAUCUACCCACGGGUAGACUUAUAGACCAGGGUGUCAUGCGGCCUCUCGGGACCGAGGAACGCGCUUCGGCUCGGA
rnacentral:rRNA from 1 species